rnacentral:rRNA from 1 species
GGUAAUUAUUUUACCUGAGUAGUAUUAGUUAUGGUCUUUAAACUUAAAGAAUUUGGCGGUAUUUUAGUCUUAUUAGAGGAAUCUGUUUUUUAAUCGAUAAUCCGCGUUGGACCUUACUUAAUUUUUUUUGUAUACCUCCGUUAUAAUGAGUAUCCUUUAAGGGUUUAUAAUUCUCUUAAUUUUUUUUUAUAAAUUAUUUCAGGUCAAGGUGCAGAUUAUAAUUAAGUUUAUAUGGAUUACAAUUAUUUUUAAUUUAUUUGGAUUAAUCAUUGUAAUAUUUUUAUGAAAUUGGAUUUAAUUGUAAAAUUAUGAAUAUUGUUUUUUUGAAUUUGGCUCUAAAAUGUGUACACAUCUGCCGUCG